UACGAAGGGGGCUAGCGUUGUUCGGAAUUACUGGGCGUAAAGCGCACGUAGGCGGAUUGUUAAGUCAGGGGUGAAAUCCCAAGGCUCAACCUCGGAACUGCCUUUGAUACUGGCAAUCUCGAGUCCGGAAGAGGUGAGUGAAAUUCCCAGUGUAGAGGUGAAAUUCGUAGAUAUUGGGAAGAACACCAGUGGCGAAGGCGGCUCACUGGUCCGGUACUGACGCUGAGGUGCGAAAGCGUGGGGAGCAGACAGG
rnacentral:rRNA from 1 species